rnacentral:rRNA from 1 species
UACGUAGGGCGCAAGCGUUAUCCGGAAUUAUUGGGCGUAAAGAGCUCGUAGGCGGUUUGUCGCGUCUGCCGUGAAAGUCCGGGGCUCAACUCCGGAUCUGCGGUGGGUACGGGCAGACUAGAGUGAUGUAGGGGAGACUGGAAUUCCUGGUGUAGCGGUGAAUGCGCAGAUAUCAGGAGGACACCGAUGGCGAAGGCAGGUCUCUGGCAUUAACUGACGCUGAGGAGCGAAAGCAUGGGAGCGAACAGG